GAUGAACGCUGACAGAAUGCUUAACACAUGCAAGUCAACUUGAACUUCGGUUUGGGUGGCGGACGGGUGAGUAACGCGUAAAGAACUUGCCUCACAGAUAGGGACAACAUUUGGAAACGAAUGCUAAUACCUGAUAUUAUGAUUUUAGGGCAUCCUAGGAUUAUGAAAGCUAUAUGCGCUGUGAGAGAGCUUUGCGUCCCAUUAGCUAGUUGGAGAGGUAACGGCUCACCAAGGCGAUGAUGGGUAGCCGGCCUGAGAGGGUGAUCGGCCACAAGGGGACUGAGACACGGCCCUUACUCCUACGGGAGGCAGCAGUGGGGAAUAUUGGACAAUGGACCAAGAGUCUGAUCCAGCAAUUCCGUGUGCACGAUGAAGUUUUUCGGAAUGUAAAGUGCUUUCAGUUGGGAAGAAAAAAAUGACGGUACCAACAGAAGAAGUGACGGCUAAAUACGUG
rnacentral:rRNA from 1 species